CCUACGGGGGGCAGCAGUGAGGAAUAUUGGUCAAUGGGCGCGAGCCUGAACCAGCCAAGUCGCGUGAGGGAAGACGGUCCUAUGGAUUGUAAACCUCUUUUGUCGGGGAGCAAAAGCCGCCACGCGUGGCGUUCCGAGAGUACCCGAAGAAAAAGCAUCGGCUAACUCCGUGCCAGCAGCCGCGGUAAUACGGAGGAUGCGAGCGUUAUCCGGAUUUAUUGGGUUUAAAGGGAGCGUAGGCCGCAUGUCAAGCGUGCUGUGAAAUGUCCGGGGCUAACCCGGGCCUUGCAGCGCGAACUGGCGUGCUAGAGUCCGCGGAAAGCAUGCGGAAUUCGUCGUGUAGCGGUGAAAUGCUUAGAUAUGACGAAGAACCCCGAUUGCGAAGGCAGCAUGCUGCAGCGGAACUGACGCUGAGGCUCGAAAGCGCGGGUAUCGAACAGGAUUAGAUACCCGAGUAGUC
rnacentral:rRNA from 1 species